ensembl:lncRNA
GCUGAGGCUCAAUGCUUGAUUAUAAAAACACAAGCAAUUAAAUGGUUGGAGUCAUGCUGUCCAUCAAUAUGAUUGGCGGUCAACUAUACCAAUCAAUGAGCUUAUUUACAUUUGAAUCUCUUCCUUAUUUUGUAUAGUCUUGCGGUGACUCUUUUUCCUCUAAGAUCUCUUUAUUUUAUUAUUUUCUGUUUGUACGAGUUAUAUAUGGCUAUUGUAGAAUAAAAUUAGAAAGUAUAAAAAAGCAUAAUGAAGGGGAAAACCCUACAGUGUUGCCACCCAGAGACAUACAGACACCAUUAACAUAAUGGCUGUUUCCUUGGAGAAUUUUUUUAAGCCUUUUUUUUUUUUUUAAUCUGUCUGCUCUGCUUAGGAAAUGAUUUUUUUUCCUUUCCCCAGUAUUUUUGCAGACAAAAGAGAGUCCCUGUGGUUCCAUCUGAAUGUGAAUGAAGCCCUCCAGCUGCUGUUUCUCAUGUGGCACAUACACCUCCACUGUUUCAGCAUAUCCUUUUCAGAUCACUCACCAGACAGCAUCCUACAGUCUCAUUCAUAAAGUCCAAUUAUAAGACAAGAAAUGUCAGGAAUAUACACUUUGAGAGUGGGAGGCAAACAGAACAGUACAUUGUGACUUUGUAAGAACAGCCAUGCAUUUCCUCUGGGCUUGUUUUCAGUUCCUUUGUCAGCUGAUUACAUGGUCUUUUAUAAUUUCUCAUCUACAGAAUGGAGCUAUUUGCUUGUGGAUUAUUUGAAAGACACAGGCUUAUGCAAAAGAAAAACGAAAUCAUCGUGAGGUAGGAUGAUGUUUCUGACUAGUGUUUUUUUUUCCUUUUUCUCCUUUAACAGAAGAUGAGAAGACAAUUUAUAAUAGUGGCUCUUAGGGAUAUGAAACAAGUAAAUAUUCUAUUAAGUCAGCCCUAAUUCUUAUGUAAUGUUAUGUAUGCAUUUGUUACUGAUAUAAUUGCAUUUAUCAGUCAUUUAUUUUCAUAUAGAGAAGAAUGCUCUCUCACUUGCAUUUUGUUUUCAAAUCCUGCAUGUUUUCAAGGUAUGUAUGUUGUGUUUCUUGACUUCUACAACACUGUUUUCUGCUGCAGAGGAUGAUAUUUUGCAGUUUACAAAGUGCUUUUCAUAUACAUGAAGCUACUUAAUUCCCAAGGUACUCCUCAACUGUAAAGCUGGUCAAAGUGCUUUGGGCUUUGAAUCCUCAGCUGUGGUUUUACCUUCCAUGUAGCCCUGUAAGUUUGCUCUUCUCUCUGCCUUUGAUCCUUUUGCUUUCCAUGUUUAUAGACUUAGCUCAGGGCCACCUCCUCCAUGAAAUCUUUUGUAAAUGACCACAUCCUUCCAACUGUAUCUCUAUGAAUGCAGUUUUCAUGGGAAAUUUAUUUUAAUUUUGUUGUUAUCGAUUUUAUUACUUGAGAGGCAGCGACAAAGAGAGUCAGAGAGAGAGAGAGAACUCCCAUCUGCUUGUUCACUCCCAAAUGCCUGAAAUGGCCAGGGAAGAGAGCUCAAUCCAGGUUUCCCCUGUGAGUGAUAGGGAAUCAACUACCUGAGCUGUC